GCGUCCAUUAUGUUCUACUUCAAUUAACUUUAUUGAUGACAUGACAGGCGUCCAUUAUGUUCUACUUCAAUUAACUUUAUUGAUGACAUGACAGGCGUCCAUUAUGUUCUACUUCAAUGAACUUUAUUGAUGACAUGACAGGCGUCCAUUAUGUUCUACUUCAAUUAACUUUAUUGAUGACAUGACAGGCGUCCAUUAUGUUCUACUUCAAUUAACUUUAUUGAUGACAUGACAGGCGUCCAUUAUGUUCUACUUCAAUUAACUUUAUUGAUGACAUGACAGGCGUCCAUUAUGUUCUACUUCAAUUAACUUUAUUGAUGACAUGACAGGCGUCCAUUAUGUUCUACUUCAAUUAACUUUAUUGAUGACAUGACAGGCGUCCAUUAUGUUCUACUUCAAUUAACUUUAUUGAUGACAUGACAGGCGUCCAUUAUGUUCUACUUCAAUUAACUUUAUUGAUGACAUGACAGGCGUCCAUUAUGUUCUACUUCAAUGAACUUUAUUGAUGACAUGACAGGCGUCCAUUAUGUUCUACUUCAAUGUCUACAGACAAUAACAUUUGGAAAUCAUCGUAAAAAUGACGCCAUGCUUCUGGAGUCAACGGCUAUUCUGUUGUUGACUCAAUCUGUCGACACGGUCAGUCAUAAUGUAAUCAUUUGGGCUACUACAGUAUCAGAACAUCAGAGAUUAGAUCAGUCAUAAUGUAAUCAUUUGGGCUACUAGAUUAGGUCAGUCAUAAUGUAAUCAUUUGGGCUACUAGAUUAGGUCAGUCAUAAUGUAAUCAUUUGGGCUACUAGAUUAGGUCAGUCAUAAUGUAAUCAUUUGGGCUACUAGUAUCAGAACAUCAGAGAUUAGGUCAGUCAUAAUGUAAUCAUUUGGGCUACUAGAUUAGGUCAGUCAUAAUGUAAUCAUUUGGGCUACUAGUAUCAGAACAUCAGAGAUUAGGUCAGUCAUAAUGUAAUCAUUUGGGCUACUAGAUUAGGUCAGUCAUAAUGUAAUCAUUUGGGCUACUAGAUUAGGUCAGUCAUAAUGUAAUCAUUUGGGCUACUAGAUUAGGUCAGUCAUAAUGUAAUCAUUUGGGCUACUAGAUUAGGUCAGUCAUAAUGUAAUCAUUUGGGCUACUAGUAUCAGAACAUCAGAGAUUAGGUCAGUCAUAAUGUAAUCAUUUGGGCUACUAGAUUAGGUCAGUCAUAAUGUAAUCAUUUGGGCUACUAGAUUAGGUCAGUCAUAAUGUAAUCAUUUGGGCUACUAGAUUAGGUCAGUCAUAAUGUAAUCAUUUGGGCUACUAGUAUCAGAACAUCAGAGAUUAGGUCAGUCAUAAUGUAAUCAUUUGGGCUACUAGAUUAGGUCAGUCAUAAUGUAAUCAUUUGGGCUACUAGAUUAGGUCAGUCAUAAUGUAAUCAUUUGGGCUACUAGAUUAGGUCAGUCAUAAUGUAAUCAUUUGGGCUACUAGAUUAGGUCAGUCAUAAUGUAAUCAUUUGGGCUACUAGUAUCAGAACAUCAGAGAUUAGGUCAGUCAUAAUGUAAUCAUUUGGGCUACUAGAUUAGGUCAGUCAUAAUGUAAUCAUUUGGGCUACUAGAUUAGGUCAGUCAUAAUGUAAUCAUUUGGGCUACUAGAUUAGGUCAGUCAUAAUGUAAUCAUUUGGGCUACUAGUAUCAGAACAUCAGAGAUUAGGUCAGUCAUAAUGUAAUCAUUUGGGCUACUAGAUUAGGUCAGUCAUAAUGUAAUCAUUUGGGCUACUAGAUUAGGUCAGUCAUAAUGUAAUCAUUUGGGCUACUAGAUUAGGUCAGUCAUAAUGUAAUCAUUUGGGCUACUAGAUUAGGUCAGUCAUAAUGUAAUCAUUUGGGCUACUAGUAUCAGAACAUCAGAGAUUAGAUCAGUCAUAAUGUAAUCAUUUGGGCUACUAGUAUCAGAACAUCAGAGAUUAGAUCAGUCAUAAUGUAAUCAUUUGGGCUACUAGUAUCAGAACAUCAGAGAUUAGAUCAGUCAUAAUGUAAUCAUUUGGGCUACUAGAUUAGGUCAGUCAUAAUGUAAUCAUUUGGGCUACUAGAUUAGGUCAGUCAUAAUGUAAUCAUUUGGGCUACUAGUAUCAGAACAUCAGAGAUUAGAUCAGUCAUAAUGUAAUCAUUUGGGCUACUAGAUUAGGUCAGUCAUAAUGUAAUCAUUUGGGCUACUAGAUUAGGUCAGUCAUAAUGUAAUCAUUUGGGCUACUAGAUUAGGUCAGUCAUAAUGUAAUCAUUUGGGCUACUAGAUUAGGUCAGUCAUAAUGUAAUCAUUUGGGCUACUAGAUUAGGUCAGUCAUAAUGUAAUCAUUUGGGCUACUACAGUAUCAGAAUACAUUCUCUCUCACCAAAACAAGUAAAACAUUGACUGAUAUUUCAUCAAGAUGUGUGUGUGUGUGUAAUACGUCUGUAUUUGUAAAGGAAUGUAAUUAGUUGACAGUAUCCUAACCUCAUCCCCAGUUGUCCCUUGUGUUUACUGUUUGUCAGAAUAUUGCGACAACAAAACGUACCAUGGUCAUCCCAUAUUUCCAUUUACUAUUUGAUACAGGCCAUUGAUCCUGUCUUUACUGCCCAUUGGUCUAACUCUAUAUGUAGCCCCGCCCACUUGCUUGUGUGUCAUUGGGCCGGAACGCCACGGAAAUUGGAAGACAAAACGAGACAAAUUGGCCGUGCCGUUGUUGCCAGGCUACACAAGGUGGAUAUUAUGGGUCUCUUUAGUAGAUCUUAAAGGCGGUGAGCUUUAAGUCCCCUCUGACACGAACGUAGGUAAUGACGUCCAAGACGGAACGGUUGGGGAAUUUGAUCUCAUGUCCAUUAGGCAUCUCCACUUCAAACAGGUCUCCGGUCAGCUUCAGGA